AACCUGGUUGAUCUUGCCAGUAGUCAUAUGCUUGUCUCAAAGAUUAAGCCAUGCAAGUGAAAGUAUAUGCAUAUUUUAUAUGUAGAAACUGCGAACGGCUCAUUAAAACAGUUAUAAUCUACUUGACAUUUUUUCUAUAAGGAUAACUACGGAAAAGCUGUAGCUAAUACUUGCUUUAGCACUCUUGAUUCAUUUCUUGAGUGUGUACUUGUUAAGCCUUUUAAGAAAAAAGUUAUUAACUUAAGGAAUUAUAACAAAGAAGCGACACAUAAUGGAUCCGUCCAUUUUUAGUGUGUAUCAAUCGAGUUUCUGACCUAUCAGCUUUUGAUGUUAGGGUAUUGGCCUAACAUGGCUAUGACGGGUAACGGGGAAUUAGAGUUCGAUUCCGGAGAGGGAGCCUGAGAAAUAGCUACCACAUCUAAGGAAGGCAGCAGGCGCGUAAAUUACCCAAUUCUAAAGAAGAGAGGUAGUGACAAGAAAUAACAAUACAAGGCCAAUCUGGCUUUGUAAUUGGAAUGAUGGGAAUUUAAAACCUUCCCAAAACUCAAUUGGAGGGCAAGUCUGGUGCCAGCAGCCGCGGUAAUUCCAGCUCCAAUAGCGUAUAUUAAAAUUGUUGCAGUUAAAACGCUCGUAGUUGAAUUUCAAAGAAUCGAUAUUUUAAGCAACGCUUCUAGCUUAAUCCACAUAACUGAUACUUCGUAUCGACUUUGUGCGCAUUUUGCUAUUAUGUGUUCUUUUAAUUAAAAUGAUUCUUUUUAAGGACUUUCUGUGCUUCGGCUUGGAAGUCCUUGUUACUUUGAGUAAAUUAGAGUGUUCAAAGCAAACAGAUAUAGCAUUGCGCGUUUGAAUACUACAGCAUGGAAUAACAAAAUUGAACAAGUCAGAAUUUUGUUCUUUUUUCUUAUUUUGGCUUAGUUACGAUUAAUAGGAGUAGCUUGGGGGCAUUUGUAUUCAGAUGUCAGAGGUGAAAUUCUUAGAUUUUCUGGAGACAAACAACUGCGAAAGCAUUUGCCUAAAAUACUUCCAUUAAUCAAGAACGAAAGUUAAGGGAGUGAAGACGAUCAGAUACCGUCGUAAUCUUAACCAUAAACUAUGCCGACUAGGCUNNNNNNNNNNNNNNNNNNNNNNNNNNNNNNNNNNNNNNNNNNNNNNNNNNNNNNNNNNNNNNNNNNNNNNNNNNNNNNNNNNNNNNNNNNNNNNNNNNNNUCCAAUAGCGUAUAUUAAAAUUGUUGCAGUUAAAACGCUCGUAGUUGAAUUUCAAAGAAUCGAUAUUUUAAGCAACGCUUUUAGCUUAAUCCACAUAACUGAUACUUCGUAUCGACUUUGUGCGCAUUUUGCUAUUAUGUGUUCUUUUAAUUAAAAUGAUUCUUUUUAAGGACUUUCUUUGCUUCGGCUUGGAAGUCCUUGUUACUUUGAGUAAAUUAGAGUGUUCAAAGCAAACAGAUAUAGCAUUGCGCGUUUGAAUACUACAGCAUGGAAUAACAAAAUUGAACAAGUCAGAAUUUUGUUCUUUUUUCUUAUUUUGGCUUAGUUACGAUUAAUAGGAGUAGCUUGGGGGCAUUUGUAUUCAGAUGUCAGAGGUGAAAUUCUUAGAUUUUCUGGAGACAAACAACUGCGAAAGCAUUUGCCUAAAAUACUUCCAUUAAUCAAGAACGAAAGUUAAGGGAGUGAAGACGAUCAGAUACCGUCGUAAUCUUAACCAUAAACUAUGCCGACUAGGCUUUGGAUGAAAGAUUUUAAAAUAAGAGUUUUCUCUUCGGAGUUUACUCUUAGAUUGCUUCCUUCAGUGCCUUAUGAGAAAUCAAAGUCUUUGGGUUCUGGGGCGAGUAUUCGCGCAAGCGAGAAAGUUAAAAGAAUUGACGGAAGGGCACCACCAGGCGUGGAGCUUGCGGCUUAAUUUGACUCAACACGGGAAAACUCACUAGUUUAAGACAAGAGUAGGAUUGACAGAUUAAUAGCUCUUUCUUGAUUUCUUGGAUGGUGAUGCAUGGCCGUUUUUAGUUCGUGAAUAUGAUUUGUCUGGUUAAUUCCGAUAACGAACGAGAUCUUAACCUGCUAAUUAGCGGCAAAUACGAUAUAUUCUUACGUGGGACUGAAUUCGGUUGAUUUGCUUACUUCGAAGAAAAUAUUGGGAUACGUAACAGUUUCCCUUUCCCUUUUCUACUUAGUUCGCUUUUCAUACUGUUUCUUUUUCGCGUAAGAAUGUAUUUGCUUGAUUGUAAAGCUUCUUAGAGGAACGAUGUGUGUCUAACACAAGGAAGUUUAAGGCAACAACAGGUCUGUGAUGUCCUUAGAUGAACUAGGCUGCACGCGUGCUACACUGAUAUGUAUAACGAGUUAUUAAAAUUACGAUUCAGCUUGCUGUUUCGUAUUUUUCCUCCACUGAAAAGUGUAGGUAAUCUUUAUCAGUACAUAUCGUGAUGGGGAUAGAUUAUUGCAAUUAUUAAUCUUGAACGAGGAAUGCCUAGUAAGCAUGAUUCAUCAGAUUGUGCUGACUACGUCCCUGCCCUUUGUACACACCGCCCGUCGCUCCUACCGAUUGAAAGAUAUGAUGAAUUGUUUGGACAAGAAGAAGGGGGAUUAUAUCUCCUUUUUUCUGGAAAAACCGUAAAUCCUAUCUUUUAAAGGAAGGAGAAGUCGUAACAAGGUUUCCGUAGGUGAACCUGCGGAAGGAUCAUUA
rnacentral:rRNA from 1 species